UAACCUAUGAUUUCAAUAUAAAAACAUAAUUUUUAAACAAUAGAAUUAAUAAAUAUUUAUGUUGGAAUUUUUUUAAUGGUACAGAAAAUAAAGAUUGAAAACCCACCUCUUUCUUUCUUAGACCGUCUCCUUAAAGGAGCGGUCUAAAAUAAGAAACAGCACUGGAGCUGUUUAUUUAGAGAAAUUUUCCUCCUCACAGAAUACUGAUAACUACCUUGUGAUUCGCUGGGAUAUAGAAGAGUUUUAUCAUCACGAGGAGCCCAUUUGGUUUCCCCAUUCGUUUUAUAAAAGUUAACUUUAUUGUGGCUGGGUGCAGUGGCUCGUGCCUAUAAUCCUAGCACUUUGGGAGGCCAAGGCAGGCGGAUCACUUGAGGCCAGGAGUUCAAGACUAACCUGGCCAACAUGGUGAAAACCUGUCUCUACUAAAAAUACGAAAAUUAGUCGACGUGGUGGCGUGUGCCUGUAGUUCCAGCUACUCGGAAGGCUGAGGCAUGAAAAUUGCUUAAACCCAGGAAGCAGAGGUUGUGUUGAGCCAAGAUCGUGCCACUGCCCUCCAGCCUGGGCAACAGAGAGCGAUUCUGUCUCAAAAAUAAAAGGUUUAUUGAAGUAUAAAUUACGUAUGACAAAAUGCACGUAUUUUAAGUACAUGAUUUAAUGAUUUUUAACAAUUGUGUGUGUGCACCCAGCUAACCAUCUCUACAAUCGAUCUAGAACAUUUUCAUCACUUCAGUGCUUCUCGUAUAUUCCUUCCCAGCUAACCCAUGAUCCCCAACCCUGGCCAUAGGAACCCGCUGAUCCAUCUUCUAUCACUUUAGAUUGAAUUUGUCUUUCCUACUGUUUUAUAUAAAGAAAUUACCUCCUUUAAGUCCUAUCAAAUUCCUGAUCACCCUUAAAAAACAAUUUUUAGGUAUUACCAUAAAACCUUCCAUGACAUUCUCUGCUUUAUCUUCUCUGUGCUACUUUGUCCAUUCAUUGUUGCAUUGUAAUGUAUUUCUGUACAUGUUAUAUCACUAAACUGUCUCCUCCUUGAAGGGAGGGACAUGUGUUCACUCAUCUAUUUUCAAGGCUUAUUACAGAAACUGAAACAUAGUAGAUGCUUACUUGGGAAUAUUAUAUCUCAAAAUAGAAAAACACCCAGCAAAUCGCAUCUUAUAUUAGUCUUUAGAAUUAGUAUCAAAGCCUAAUUAUUAUGACACUUGAAACAUUAAAUAACUUAGAAAACAAAGACUUAAAAGUUUUAUGAUAAAGCCAGAAACUUUUUAUACUGACCAUUUUUAAUACUGACAUUUCAGAUAAUUGGAGGGCAGAUGAUAUAUGAAAUAUAACUUUAUACUGUGACUUCUUAAUACUUCAGUUUGUUUAGAAUAAACUUGAUAAGUUCGUCAAAUUUUUAUUUUAUUAAAAAAAUUCUGUUUGCAAAUGGCAUAUUUACACAACUUGGUAAUAAGUCAUUUUCUCUUUUUUCCAUUUUACUAACUUAACAAUCUAAAAGCAACAACCACAACAUAGAGGAUUAAAAUUAAUGUCAUUAAUUUUAGGUCAGUUUGCCAUAAAAUUUUAGAUGUUUUACCUUGCACACUAAGGUAAUCCCAUGAAUUUAUUUUAGAUUAGGUCUGGCAAGAAGAUUUCAAGGACAUUGUGCUUUGCUUUCAGUUCUGAAAGGUAUGAGUGGAUUUAUAACAGAAGUGUUUGACUAAUUCCUGUUGUCUUGUGGGUACAUAAGCUUAGUAAGCAGAACAAAUGACUGAAGGAAAGAGGGACAAAAUUUAAGUCUGCAUUGUGUAAAUCAUUACUGUCUAAGUGGUUAGGGGACUUCUGUUUUUUUCUUUGUUUUUGAGACUGCGUCUCCCUCUGUCACCAGGCUGGAGUGCAGUGGUGCCAUCUCAGCUCACUGCAACCUCCGCCUGCCGGGUUCAAGUGAUUCUCCUGCCUCAGCCUCCCGAGUAGCUGGCACUACAGGCUCCAUGCCACCACAGCCAGCUGAUUUUUGUAUUUUUAGUAGAGGCAGGGUUUCAUCACAUUGGCCAGGAUGGUCUUGAUCUCUUUACUUUGUUGAUCCGCCCACCUCGGCUUCCCAAAGUGCUGGGAUUACAGGCAUGAGCCAUCCUGCCCGGCUAGGGACUUGUUCUUAAUUCACCUCUGUAAUAAUAAUCUCUGAAUCUUCAGUUUCUUGUUUGUAAAAUAAGGAUUUUUAUCAGAUGAACUUUUAAACUAUAAAACUCUGAAAUAUUCCUUAUUGUAAUGUCAAGGUCUGAUUGUUUGAGAAAGUUAUUUGUAAAAUAAAUGUAUUCAUUUAUUCUUAA